rnacentral:rRNA from 1 species
GAGACAGCAGUAGCCGCGGGAAUACAGAGGGUGCGAGCGUUAAUCGGAUUUACUGGGCGUAAAGCGUGCGUAGGCGGCUUCUUAAGUCGGACGUGAAAUCCCUGAGCUUAACUUAGGAAUUGCAUUCGAUACUGGGAAGCUAGAGUAUGGGAGAGGAUGGUAGAAUUCCAGGUGUAGCGGUGAAAUGCGUAGAGAUCUGGAGGAAUACCGAUGGCGAAGGCAGCCAUCUGGCCUAAUACUGACGCUGAGGUACGAAAGCAUGGGGAGCAAACAGGAUUAGAUACCCGAGUAGUCCCUGUCUCUUAUAC